UGGUUCAUUACUCGUUUUAGCCAAUCACUGCCUUAGAAAAGCAGGACAAAAGUUUUAGGAUGUAUCUUAAACAAUCGAGGUACCUCCAAGGCGCAUUGGUGAAAGAAGCAGCUUAGAUCUGGCUGAAAGUAAACAUGGCGGCUGUAAAGAUCUGUCUAAUGCUAGCCGUGGCCUUCACGGUAUUGCUGUCAGUAAGAGGUAAAACAGCGAAACAAGAACUACUUGGGCGUACCCUUUGGUUCCGAUCGUUAAACUUCAGGGAAUACUUCAUCCGACACAAAAAUUUCUUGGUCCAUAUCGAACACCGUCAACACACCAAGCGCUUUCUAUUGGAUUCAUUGUGGAAGAUAGUGCCUGGCCUGUGUGGUAGAGGGAUCAGUUUUCAAGCUUACACACACAAGAACUACUACCUGCGCCACAGAGGCUACCUGGUAUGGUUAGAUAAAUAUGAAAACAACCACGGAUUCAAGAAUGAUGCCUGUUUCAUUGCGCACCAUGGUCUCGCAGAUCGAAAAGCCUAUUCGUUUGAGGCAGUUAAUCCCGAUGGUUACGUGUUGCGUCAUCAAGGCUUCAGAAUGAAGAUAUCUCCGAAUGAUGGCACCAAUUUAUUAAGGCAGGAUGCUACAUUUGACCAUUUCCCAUAGAGGACCUGCGCAAGAGCAUUGUACAGCCUGGGGAAGAUGAAGAAGUAAAUGAACAUGCGCUGGAUUUUUUAAUUUUCUUGGCUUUCGAUAUAAACUCUUUAUUUACAUAUUUUCACUCUUUUGCUGAGGCCAGCUUCCGGUUAUAAACAUAUUUCUGUAGUAGUUUCAAAUGAAGCAAAGUCCAUGCUGUAAACAA